rnacentral:lncRNA from 1 species
UGUUGAAAUAUGUCUUCCCUAAUCUGGAAGUUCUGUUUUCAGUAUUUGUAUGUCAAUCCCUACUGUCGUUUCUGGAGAUAUAUGUUCAUUUUACUAGGUAAGAAGAGACAAAAUUUAGGAAUACUUGAUUCCAUGAAUAGCAGUUGCCUCCAGAAACUGCUCACCUGAAUCAUUCGCUGUUCCCUUGCUCUCCUUGUUUUAGUGACUAAUAUUCUCUGAAAAAAGAAAAAAACAAUAGUAUCUCUUUUUAUUUCAUUUAUAUUUGUCUCAUCUUCUCUAGUAAACUAUGUUGACAGAUUUCUGUUAUAAUUCACUUUAUUACCAGUAAAUUUGCUGUUAAAAUGAAUAUUAUUGACUUUUUACUGACUGUUCUUUGAACAAACUGGGACUUUAGAUGAGGAGUAUGUUGUUUCUAUGGAAACUGUAUCGUGUUUCUGUCAGUGGAUAGACACAUGGGUACAGUUGUUUUUCAUUUCACAGUGUAGUAAUGAUGGCCGCUUUUCAAGCCCAAAUAAACCAUCUUAAUAAUACAGUCCCGGUAAUCUUAGUUUAGGACUGACCGUUCUCAUUCUUUGAUUCUUCUUGUUUUGUUUUUGGCUAAUUCUGCCCAUCUUCAUUGUCACAUUAUGGAUAACAAUAGUAUAUGUUUGUGCUGGAAAACAGCUCUUAGAAUGAUCCGUUACAAAGAGAUGUAUCUUUGUACAUGUAUUUCAUGUAUUUCACCAUGUCUCCCUUUUCCAAUUAAUACUACUGUUAUUCCCUCUCCUUCGCUUCCUGCUUAGUUCUUUCUCUUAAAACAUUAAAACUCCAGUUCAUCAUAUUGUAUAUAUCUUAAUUGGAAUAAAUAGUUGUUUUAAGAAUUGUAAUGAAAAUAUAGCAGAUGUGCUUUAUUUGCUAAAAAUGCUACCUUUUUGCCAGUUUUGUAUUAAUAGUGUGAGUCCUGUAUAAGUGUUAGCUAUUAGUAGUAGAAGUAAUGAUGGUGUUAUAUGUUAAUACUAUUGUCUAGUAUGUUAGAAUAAUUUCAAUAAAAAUUGUAUUUGAAGCUU